rnacentral:rRNA from 1 species
UACGGAGGUGGCGAGCGUUGCUCGGAUUUACUGGGUGUAAAGAGCACGUAGGCGGUUCCACAAGCCCUGCCUUAAAGGCCAUGGCUCAACCAUGGUAUGCGGUAGGGAACUGUGGAACUUGAGGGUGGGAGAGGUGAGUGGAAUUCCCGGUGGAAGGGUGAAAUCUGUAGAUAUCGGGAGGAACACCAGUGGCGAAGGCGACUCACUGGCCCAUUUCUGACGCUGAGGUGCGACAGCUAGGGGAGCAAACAGGAUUAGAUACCCCGGUAGUCC